GACGAACGCUGGCGGCGUGCUUAACACAUGCAAGUCGAACGGAAAGGCCCUGCUUUUGUGGGGUGCUCGAGUGGCGAACGGGUGAGUAACACGUGAGUAACCUGCCCUUGACUUUGGGAUAACUUCAGGAAACUGGGGCUAAUACCGGAUAGGAGCUCCUGCUGCAUGGUGGGGGUUGGAAAGUUUCGGCGGUUGGGGAUGGACUCGCGGCUUAUCAGCUUGUUGGUGGGGUAGUGGCUUACCAAGGCUUUGACGGGUAGCCGGCCUGAGAGGGUGACCGGCCAGAUUGGGACUGAGAUACGGCCCAGACUCCUACGGGAGGCAGCAGUGGGGAAUAUUGCACAAUGGGCGGAAGGCUGAUGCAGCAACGCCGCGUGCGGGAUGACGGCCUUCGGGUUGUAAACCGCUUUCGCCUGUGACGAAGCGUGAGUGACGGUAAUGGGUAAAGAAGCACCGGCUAACUACGUG
rnacentral:rRNA from 1 species